rnacentral:rRNA from 1 species
AGUGAACGCUGGCGGUAGGCCUAACACAUGCAAGUCGAACGGCAGCACAGUAAGAGCUUGCUCUUACGGGUGGCGAGUGGCGGACGGGUGAGGAAUACAUCGGAAUCUACUUUUUCGUGGGGGAUAACGUAGGGAAACUUACGCUAAUACCGCAUACGACCUACGGGUGAAAGCAGGGGAUCUUCGGACCUUGCGCGAUUGAAUGAGCCGAUGUCGGAUUAGCUAGUUGGCGGGGUAAAGGCCCACCAAGGCGACGAUCCGUAGCUGGUCUGAGAGGAUGAUCAGCCACACUGGAACUGAGACACGGUCCAGACUCCUACGGGAGGCAGCAGUGGGGAAUAUUGGACAAUGGGGGAAAGCCUGAUACAGCCAUACCGCGUGGGUGAAGAAGGCCUUCGGGUUGUAAAGCCCUUUUGUUGGGAAAGAAAAGCAGCAGGUUAAUACCCCGCUGUUAUGACGGUACCCAAAGAAUAAGCACCGGCUAACUUCGUG